AGUGAACGCUGGCGGUAGGCCUAACACAUGCAAGUCGAACGGCAGCACAGUAAGAGCUUGCUCUUACGGGUGGCGAGUGGCGGACGGGUGAGGAAUACAUCGGAAUCUACUUUUUCGUGGGGGAUAACGUAGGGAAACUUACGCUAAUACCGCAUACGACCUACGGGUGAAAGCAGGGGAUCUUCGGACCUUGCGCGAUUGAAUGAGCCGAUGUCGGAUUAGCUAGUUGGCGGGGUAAAGGCCCACCAAGGCGACGGUCCGUAGCUGGUCUGAGAGGAUGGUCAGCCACACUGGAACUGAGACACGGUCCAGACUCCUACGGGAGGCAGCAGUGGGGAAUAUUGGACAAGGGGCGCAAGCCUGAUCCAGCCAUACCGCGUGGGUGAAGAAGGACUUCGGGUUGUAAAGCCCUUUUGUUGGGAAAGAAAAGCAGCAGGUUAAUACCCCGCUGUUCUGACGGUACCCAAAGAAUAAGCACCGGCUAACUUCGUG
rnacentral:rRNA from 1 species